rnacentral:rRNA from 1 species
CCUACGGGAGGCAGCAGUGGGGAAUAUUGGGCAAUGGGGGCAAGCCUGAAGCAGCAACGCCGCGUGAAGGAAGAAGGUUUUAGGAUUGUAAACUCCUUUUGUGAGAGACGAUUAUGGCGGUGUCUAACGAGUAAUAAGCGGCUAACACCGUGCCAGCAGCCGCGGUAAUACGGAGGGUGCAAGAGUUACUCGGAAUAACUGGGUGGAAAGAGGGCGUAGGCGGGGUAAUAAGUCAGAUGUGAAAUCCUGUCGCUGAACGACAGAACUGCAUUUGAAACUGUUACUCUUGAGUGUGGGAGAGGUAGGUGGAAUUCUGGGUGUAGGGGUAAAAUCCGUAGAGAUCAAGAGGAAUA